GUCUCGACACAGCUCGCCCGCUCCUUAGCAGUCACAGUCGGCGCGCGGCAGCGAGUGGACGUUCAGUGAAGUGCAGUGCAGACAGUGUGUUUCAAGAACAUUCCACGAGCCACGAAGCCACGAAGAUAUUCUAGCCACCAUGUAGGGCUCAGAUAAAUUCCAGUGCAUAGUGUAUUCUCUGACACAAUGCAGGUAGUUUCCGUGGUCAACAUGUUCAAACACACAUUCAGCAAUCGUAUCGUGUGUUUGAAUCGACAGCGUGUAAAGAAUGUAUCAUUUGGACUAUUAAGCCGGCCGUACACGAGAUUGUUUGAGCGAAUUUAAAGCGAAAGUAGCGAAUGUGCGGUGGGCCUUAUCUCACAUCAGCAAGGAGUGUCAGUCAUGGGCGGGUGGUCUCUUGCGUCACUGGCGGAGUAAUCUGACGAUAAAUCACAGCUUCUGGAUCGGAAUGAGAUCACGGGCUUAUUGGGCCCCAAUGAAAGACGGACCUGAUUUGGCUCUUCGAUUUGAGAUUUUAACUUCUCGAUUUAUAGCGACGAAAACUGAAUCCGAUUUGUAACGUGCGUACGAAUGAUGGAUAUGAU
rnacentral:lncRNA from 1 species